rnacentral:rRNA from 1 species
AUUGAACGCUGGCGGCAGGCCUAACACAUGCAAGUCGAACGAGUGGCGGACGGGUGAGUAAUGUCUGGGAAACUGCCUGAUGGAGGGGGAUAACUACUGGAACCGGUAGCUAAUACCGCAUACCAUCAGAUGUUCCCAGAUGGGAUUAGCCAGUUGGUGGGGUAACGGCUAACCAAGGCGACGAUCCCUCGCUGGUCUGAGAGGAUGACCAGCCAAACUGGAACUGAGACACGGUCCAGACUCCUACGGGAGGCAGAAGUGGGGAAUAUUGCACAAUGGGCGCAAGCCUGAUGCAGCCAGGCCGCGUGUAUGAAGAAGGCCUUCGGGAUGUAAAGUACUUUCAGCGGGGAGGCGUUACCCGCAGAAGAAGCACCGGCUAACUCCGUGCCAGCAGCCGCGGUAAUUC